UAACAAGGAUUCCCCUAGUAACUGCGAGUGAAGCGGGAAGAGCUCAAAUUUAAAAUCUGGCGGCCUUCUGGACGUCCGAGUUGUAGUCUGGAGAAGUGUUAUCCGCGUCGGACCGUGUACAAGUCUCCUGGAACGGAGCGUCAUAGAGGGUGAGAAUCCCGUCCAUGACACGGACGCCCGAUGCUAUGUGAGGCACUCUCAAAGAGUCGAGUUGUUUGGGAAUGCAGCUCAAAAUGGGUGGUAAAUUCCAUCUAAAGCUAAAUAUUGGCGAGAGACCGAUAGCGAACAAGUACCGUGAGGGAAAGAUGAAAAGCACUUUGGAAAGAGAGUUAAACAGUACGUGAAAUUGUUGAAAGGGAAACGCUUGAAGUCAGUCGCGUCCCGCGGAACUCAGCCUGGUUUCGACCUGGUGUACUUUCCAUGUGGACGGGUCAACAUCAAUUUCGGUCGGUGGACAAGGGCGAGGGGAAUGUAGCGUUGCUUCGGCGACGUGUUAUAGCCCCUUGUCGUAUACGCUGGUUGGGAUUGAGGACCGCAGCACGCCCUUGUGGCCGGGGGUUCGCCCCACGUAACGUGCUUAGGAUGUUGGCAUAAUGGCUUUAAGCGACCCGUCUUGAAACACGGACCAAGGAGUCUAACAUGCUUGCGAGUGUUCGGGUGGAAAACCCUUGCGCGUAAUGAAAGUGAAAGUUGGGAACCUCCGCGAGGGGGUGCACCGACGCCCGGCCCUGACGUUCUCUGACGGUGCCGCGGUAGAGCACGUAUGUUGGGACCCGAAAGAUGGUGAACUAUGCCUGAAUAGGGCGAAGCCAGAGGAAACUCUGGUGGAGGCUCGUAGCGAUUCUGACGUGCAAAUCGAUCGUCAAAUUUGGG
rnacentral:rRNA from 2 species